AACAUAAAAACGGACAUCGUAUAAAGUUGAUAAUAAGGUUCAACAGUUUCUACCAAAUCACCAUAAAUGAUUUGACUACGAUAUGCAU
rnacentral:ncRNA from 1 species